GCCAGUGUGGUGUAGUGGUUUGCGCAUUAGAAUAUGACUCUGGAGAUCAGGGUCUGAAUCCCUGUUUGGGCA
rnacentral:tRNA from 1 species